rnacentral:rRNA from 1 species
AUGAACGCUGACAGAAUGCUUAACACAUGCAAGUCGAUGGGGAAGUGGUGCUUGCACCCUGGUAACCAUGGCGGACGGGUGAGUAACGCGUAAGGAACUUGCCUGCGGGACUGGGAUAACAGCAGGAAACUGCUGAUAAUACCGGAUAAGGUCAUUAAGCUGCAUAGCUUAGUGAUGAAAGGAGACGCCUGCGGAGAGCCUUGCGUCCUAUUAGCUAGUUGGAGGGGUAACGGCCCACCAAGGCGAAGAUAGGUAGCCGGCCUGAGAGGGUGGACGGCCACAAGGGGACUGAGAUACGGCCCUUACUCCUACGGGAGGCAGCAGUGGGGAAUAUUGGACAAUGGGGGCAACCCUGAUCCAGCAAUUCUGUGUGCACGAAGACGGUUUUCGGAUUGUAAAGUGCUUUCAGCAGGGAAGAAGGAAGUGACGGUACCUGCAGAAGAAGCGACGGCUAAAUACGUG